ACUGCAGGAAGACUUCGUCCGGACUCCUACAGGAGCCAGACUUCAUCUAUAGAAAGCCUCUGAUUGGGCUCCUAUAGCAAAUGACCCCCGUCUAUGGUACUAACGCUCAAGGCACCCAACGGUAGACAGCCCGCCAGUAGCAUCCGAGCUCCUCUCAGAUGGAUAGCCACCUCUCUUCACCAGGUGCUUCAAUCGAACUUCGAUUGACAGGCCUGGACUCCCUGACAGGCCACAGUAACGGUCACGACUCUACUCCACCUCCUGCGAUGGAUUCUGUGCGGCUCC
rnacentral:lncRNA from 1 species